CCUACGGGAGGCAGCAGUGAGGAAUAUUGGUCAAUGGGAGAGAUCCUGAACCAGCCAAGCCGCGUGAGGGAAGACGGCCCUAUGGGUUGUAAACCUCUUUUGUCGGAGAACAAAACCCGGGACGUGUCCCGGACUGCGUGUAUCCGAAGAAAAAGCAUCGGCUAACUCCGUGCCAGCAGCCGCGGUAAUACGGGGGAUGCGAGCGUUAUCCGGAUUUCUUGGGUUUAAAGGGUGCGUAGGCGGUCCGUUAAGUCAGCGGUAAAAUUGCGGGGCUCAACCCCGUCGAGCCGUUGAAACUGGCAGACUUGAGUUGGCGAGAGGUACGCGGAAUGCGCGGUGUAGCGGUGAAAUGCAUAGAUAUCGCGAAGAACUCCGAUGGCGAAGGCAGCGUACCGGAGCCAGACUGACGCUGAGGCACGAAAGCGUGGGGAGCGAACAGGAUUAGAUACCCGGGUAGUC
rnacentral:rRNA from 1 species